rnacentral:rRNA from 1 species
UAGUCCCAGCCGUAAACGGUGUACACUUGGUGUGGGGAGUAUUGACCCUCCCCGUGCCGGAGCUAACGCGUUAAGUGUACCGCCUGGGGAGUACGGCCGCAAGGCUAAAACUCAAAGAAAUUGACGGGGGCCCGCACAAGCGGAGGAGCAUGUGGCUUAAUUCGAUGCAACGCGAAGAACCUUACCAGGGCUUGACAUGGCGACCCUUCGGGGGUGGGAGCGAAAGCUUCCUUUACGAUCACAGGUGCUGCAUGGCUGUCGUCAGCUCGUGCCGUGAGGUGUUGGGUUAAGUCCCGCAACGAACGCAACCCUUGUGUCUAGUUGCCACCGCAGGUGAUAAGCCUGCGAGCACUCUAGACAGACUGCCCGUACAAGCGGGAGAAGGUGGGGACGACGUCAAGUCAGUAUGGCCCUUACGCCCUGGGCUGCACACGUGCUACAAUGGUCGGUACAGAAGGACGCAAUACCGCGAGGUGGAGCAAAUCCCUAAAGCCGGCCCCAGUUCGGAUUGGAGUCUGCAAC